ACAGUAAAAUUGUGUACCAUCCCAUAAAGGACCACUGUGACUACCUAAUGGACUCUAUUGAUACUCAGCUCGAUCAGAUCGAGAUCUCAAAAUUGACCAUGUCUGAAAGUCGGACACCAAGAACCCUCCCCAGGGGGAUCUCCUUCAAAAGAACUUCUGAUUUCACCAGGAAAUCAGAAACCCUGAGCAGCAGCCAGUCGGGCAGCAGGGACACUG